rnacentral:sRNA from 1 species
GCUGGGUGUGGUGGUGAAUGCCUGUAAUCCCAGCAGCUUGGGAGGCUGAGGUAGGAUUGUGAGUUUGAAGCCAGCCUCUG